AUACGCUGGAACCUCUUGACCAUGUCUUUCAUCCUCUUGCUGAUAGUAUGACGAAACAAAAUAGUCUUGGGUUGGAAGCGGGCUAACCACCCUUCACUUUGAAGUUGGUUGGAUUCCAUUGAACAAUCUUCCAAGAUAUCUUCCAGCACGUGCAUGGCAUCGGAAAGCUUUUUCAGCCAGUCCUUUAUGGCAUAGCUUUUGAAUUGCUCCUCUGUAGCAUCUUGGAACAAUGCACGGAUUGCCUCGAGAUUAUCAGACAGCUCUUGGAUCUGUGAGUCAAUACCAGAAAGUGCUGCAAUCUCAUUCUUGACAAAAGUGUUCAAGUUUUCAAUGAGAAUUCCAAGCAAAGCAUCAGUUGUCAUUUUCAGAGAUGAAAGCAAGGAUAUGUGAAAGUUUAGUGAGGGAUAGUUUGGAUUUGCACAAUGUCAACACCACUCUCAAUGUAAUCCAUCAUUGCUUCUCAGACAAUCAACCAUUAGAAAAGAUUAAAAUUAUGGGGUGAGUUCCAUUACAAAGAGGGAUUUUUACUUGCUCUUUGAAGAAAACACUUCUUUGGCAGUAGCCAUGUUGUGCUGGGAAGAGGACCUUGAGAUUCUUGAGACAUGUUCUUGUGCACUGAGCAAGAGUGGCAGAACUAAAUGCUCUCGCGAUGCCGCCAAGUCUCAGAUUCUUGUUUAGGAUUCUGCCAACAUUGUAAAUAGUACAUUCUUGUUCCACAUUGUUGUGACUGUGAAUAAUGCUCCUUCUUUUCACUUUUGUACAUUUAUAAAUAUUUUUAUAUUCA